UGAGGUUUUUUUUUCUGGCAGAAGUUUCUUUGUCACAGUCAGGCUGACAGUGGCCUACAACGUCAUUGUUGGAUUAAAAGGCAUAUGGCAUUCGGAGUGGUCUUUUAUAUGUUUCUGAAUCCCAAUUAUUUCCCUGUAAGAAACUACAGGCUGUCCUGGAGUUGCUGAAAUUAAGCACUUGGAUGAAUGUUUUUUUUCUUCUUUUUCGCUGCCAGUUAAAACCAGUAAAAAGCCUGGCUAGAUCUUUCCUCCCUAAUAAAAUCUGGUGCAAAACUUCCACUCGCUGGGAGGAAUCGUUCUGCCACAACACCCUAUCAGUAUGUGGGGACCAUUUUCUUCCUGAAAGGAUUUUACUGUACAUUUAUGCUAACUUUAUCAGAAAAAGGCACCCUUUAAAAUCUGGGGCUGAGACCUCAGCCGUUUUGGAGAUGCUGCCGUCCUUCAUUAACUAAUUUGCUGGUUUAUUGAAACCAUAGACCUGUGGGGAACAUUUCUGUGCCAGACCUUCUCUGCGGGCUGCUUGUGCUGGUAAGUGCUCAGUGCUGUAAGGGUUGUACAAUCCAGCCUUGCAGCUGCUGUAAGAAUAUCCUUUUACAAGCUCUAAGAUCAAGAGAAGUACCUGCAGUAGUUUUGCUUUGGUGCCGUCUCUUUAGGAAUGAAGGACUGUGUGGAUGGGAUGUUUACCGGGCAAAAGCCACGGCUUCAAACUCAUGCAAGUGAAACUGCCUGUAUUGAUUUUCACUGUCUGGGGCGUGCCAAGAGCAAAUACAAUACAGUGUAGAAUGAGGAUCUUCAGAUGGCAUUUGGACAUUACCAGGACAUGAGUAACAGGCAAACAAACAUGCUCACGGAUGAAAAAUUCCCAAGCUUUAUGUUGCCCUGUCCUUGCCAGUCUGGUUCAGCCAGGGAAAUAGCAGCGAGCGACUGGCCAGGCAGCCCUGCCCUGGUGCCCGGAUCCAGAGCUAGGCAGGGAGCAGGCGUAAGGCUGAGAAGACAGGUCGCUCCUUGUAUCUGCUCUGUGUGUUUUGCUGAAGCCUCAAGGGGAAAAGCCAGCCUGUGAAAUUCGUUCUGGUGGUGUUGAGAAGCGGACACUAGCCUGCUGGGAAGAGAUCCAAGACCAUCAAUUCAUUUUCAUUUCCUGCGCAUUAUUUAGAUGAGCAUCUGGGAAGUGGCUUUAAAUGGCCAGCUUGUGUGUCGUCUUUGAGGAGGGAAAUGGUGAAGGUCCGGGGAGAGACAGUUGGCCUGGCACAGCCCUCUCUAGGCCGGAUGGAUCCUGGGCAGGUGGGACAUCACCUUCGUUGUCAUGGUCAACAUAAUCUGAGAAGAUGUGAAGCUCCAAUUCAAAACCCCACAUCCUACAGCUGACGUCCUAGACUCUGUGUGAGUUCAUGGCAGUUUUGCGGAUGGAGGCCCUCUUCUACCUGUUUCCCUACCAAAGCAGUGACAAGUACGCUACCGUGUGCCACUAACUGUCCAGAGAGAGAGAGCCAGACGUCAGAGCGGACACGGCAGCCAGCUGGGUGUCUUCUUCUGCUCCAAUGGCAGGGGUGAGUGUUCUGUUUCUGAAGAGCCCCCUUCACGGGGGAUUGCCUGGAGCAGGUCCCUUCCCAUCUGCGGCGCUCCCCUUCAGGCUUCUCCUUUCUGUAGCAAGCCCAUGGAUUUAUCUAUACCAACCAU